AUGGCCCUCCUCUUCCCUCUACUGGCAGCCCUAGAGGUGUGCAGCUGUGGCUCUUCUGGAUCUCUAGGAUAUAACCUGCCUCAGAACCAUGGCCUGCUAGGCAGGAACACCUUGGUGCUUUUGGGCCAAAUGAGGAGAAUCUCUCCCUUCUUGUGUCUAAAGGACAGAAGUGACUUCAGAUUCCCCCAGGAGAAGGUGGAAGUCAGCCAGUUGCAGAAGGCCCAGGCUAUGUCUUUCCUCUAUGAUGUGUUACAGCAGGUCUUCAACUUCUCACACAAAGCGCUCCUCUGCUGCAUGGAACAUGACCUUCCUGGACCAACUCCACACUUUACGUCAUCAGCAGCUGGAACACCUGGAGACCUGCUUGGUGCAGGAGAUGGGAGAAGGAGAAGCUGGGGGCAGUGGGUGAUUGAGGGCUCUACACUGGCCUUGAGGAGGUAUUUCCAGGAAUCCAUCUCUACCUGAAAGAGAAGAAAUAAAGAUUGUGCCUGGGAAGUUGUCAGAGUGGAAAUCAUGAGAUCCUUUUCAUCCACAAGUUUGCAAGAAAGAUUGAGAAGUAAGGAUGA
rnacentral:lncRNA from 1 species